ACGGGAGGAAGAAGGAGGGAAUUUUAGGCAAUGGGGGCAACCCUGACCGAGCAACGCCGCGUGAGUGAUGAAGUUCUUCGGAACGUAAAAUUCUUUUAUUAGGAACGAAUGUACUAGAUAGGAAAUGAUUUGGUAGUGACGGUACCUCAUGAAUAAGCCCCGGCUACCUAUGUGCCAGCAGCCGCGGUAAUACAUAGGGGUCGAGCGUUAUCCGGAUUUAUUGGGCGUAAAGGGUGCGUAGGCGGUAAAUUAAGUCUAAGGUUAAAGUGCAGGGCUCAACCCUGUGAUGCCUUAGAAACUGGUUUACUUGAGUUUGGUAGAGGUAAGUGGAACUCCAUGUGUAGAGGUAAAAUUCGUAAAUAUAUGGAAGAACACCAGUGGCGAAGGCGGCUUACUGGGCCACAACUGACGCUGAGGCACGAAAGCGUGGGGAGCAAACAGGAUUAGAUACCCUGGUA
rnacentral:rRNA from 1 species